UACGUAGGGGGCUAGCGUUGUCCGGAAUCAUUGGGCGUAAAGGGCGCGUAGGCGGCCUGUUAAGUCGAACGUGAAAUCCCCCAGGCUCAACCUGGGAACUGCGUCUGAUACUGGAUGGCUUGAAUCCGGGAGAGGGAUGCAGAAUUCCAGGUGUAGCGGUGAAAUGCGUAGAUAUCUGGAGGAAUACCGGUGGCGAAGGCGGCAUCCUGGACCGGCAUUGACGCUGAGGAGCGAAAGCCAGGGGAGCAAACGGG
rnacentral:rRNA from 1 species